AAUUUCAAAACUUAUUUGUUAAACCUCCACUCAAUUUUCUCGAGUUUCUCCAAUAGCACUCAAACAUACUUUGAAGCACCCACUCAAAUUUCUGCCCUUUGAUGUAGGUUUCUCGAAUUUUUAACCAAAAAUUCUUUCGAUUCAAUAUCUAUAUACGAGAAUCAACUCCCUAAAGAUGGUCAUAUGUCCUGUUGUUAAGGAUAUCAAACUACGGUGCUGAUUGCUAUAGUUUUCUUACACCAGUAACAAAACCGAAUUCACGCUCCAAGUCAACGCUCCUGAAUCUUAUGAAGUCCCUGCUGUCGCUGCCCAACUGUGAAAUAAUCCCAUGGACGACGUUGAUCGCUUAUUUGAAUGCUUCAAAUGCGGCAUUUCUCCCCCACAAUCAGCAAUAAGAGAAAGGAAAAAGGGAAAGCAGACUGUGAAGCAAAAUGAUACAUUGGAAAAUCUAUCAACAACUUCAGAUAUUGUUUCAUCAAGAUCAAAGGGAAAGAAGGUCCAAAAUGCAACAGAUAUUGAGCUCCGACUACAGAAUACUGGUUCAUCAGCAACAAAGAUACAAAGUCUUAAGAAGGAACCAAAGUUCUCUCCCCUUGUAUUUUAUGGUUCUCCACACGGAGUUCCUCCAAAAAGACCAGCUCGUUUGUUGCGGCUGUUGAAUGAAAUCCGUGUAGAUUUUAACGAGCAAAACAAAGUAAGAAAAGAUAUAUGGGUCACAUUUCCAAGGCAAGAUGAAGCGAUGAAGUAUGCAAAAGAGCAAACUAAUGCUCGUGUUUUCAGUUACCAGGAUCAUAUGAGUGGUCAAAGAAGAUUCCUUGUGUCCACAUAUAAGGAGUUCUGGAGAAGGUACGAAGUUAUGAAUCCUAAAUUUCGGCAUCACUAUGAAGUAAUCCAAGAGGGAUUGCCAUGCCAUCUGUACUUUGAUCUGGAGUUCAACAAGAGAGAGAAUGCAAAUAAAAAUGGAGAUGAAAUGGUUGACCUUCUGAUAGAGAUCAUCUUUGAUGCAGUCAAGGAAAAAUACUGUCUUGAAGGAAACAAUGAUUGGGUUGUGGAGCUCGAUUCCUCCAAUGAAGAAAAAUUUUCUCGUCAUUUAAUAAUCCGGUUCCCAAAAGCUGCUUUCAAGGACAACUCUCAUGCAGGUGCAUUUGUUACAGAGAUAUGUUCAAGGAUCAGUAGCAUAAGUGAACGUGAUGGAAGAUUUACAAAGCUUUUUGUCUCAAAGGAUCCAAGCUCAACUGAUAUUCCAUUUCAAUUGUUUGUGGAUAAAGCUGUCUACUCUAGAAAUCGCUGCUUUCGCCUAGCCUUUUCAUCUAAAGCAGGGAAGAGUUCUGUGCUUCUGCCAAGUGGACGUUUUAAAUGUAAGGACGUGUCCGAGGAAGAAGUGUUUAUGGCAUCCUUGAUUUGCAAUAUGGAUGCUGAUUUUGAGAAGCUAUUGAUCUGCACAAUGAAUCUGGAUUGUAUAAAGGUCCUUCAAUUUGAUACAGAGAGUACCAGGAGUUUCCAACAGCAGUCUGCUGUUUCACUGAAAUUUGACCUAAAAGCUUGUACAAGUGAUGAUCCUUCAAGAACUUAUUUGAUGGGAAACUCACCGUUCCCGUAUCUGGAUGUGUUUGUAGAGUCUCUUGCUUCAAUUGGAAAUAUACCAGGAAAAAUCCGAAGUUGGUACUGGUUCUCUGAGUAUGCAUUGAUGGUCUACAACAUGUCUAGAAAUAGAUUCUGUGAAAGAAUCGGCAGACAACAUAAAAGCAAUCAUGUUAUAUACGUAGUUGAUCUGCGAAGGAAUGUUUAUUAUCAGAAGUGCCACGAUCCUGAUUGCCGAGGCUAUCGAUCUCCCUUGCGACCUGUCCCUGAUAAUGUCAUACCUCAUUCAUCCAUUUCCGUCAAUCUGCCUGGACAUAAUUUGGAUGAGGAGAAGCCAACUGUAACUAGUGACAAAAGCAUUUCCAGCAGCUGCAAGAAAGAAUGGUGGCUUGAAGCCGUAAGAGUUGCAGACAGCAUUGAGAACGUACAGAAAGCAUUGGAUCUUACUGAGGACGGAACAUGUGAAGAUGAGGAGGAGUGGUGGAUGGCUGUUGAAAAGAUUGCACACCAGACAGAGCUAUCGUACUUUGGCAAAGCCUAGUCAUCUCAGCUCUGGCAGAACUUUAAAUGGUGGACUGGUGGAACUGCCCAUUCUUCAAAAAACUGAGGUACUUCGGUACUUCCUUCUUCCUGCCUGCCUUAGCUAAGCUAUCCGCAACUUUGUUAUGCCUUCUAUCUUCAUGGCGUACCCGCGGGUUCCCCAGCACCUGUAGAAGAUCCCUGCACAUGAUAAUUAAAUUGUUAUCAGGUUGUAAAGCAUCAUUGAUAGAUGUAGCCAAGUUUUCAGAAUCUGUGACUCUUAAUGCUAAGCUUGUGACAUUUCAGUUUUGCAGCCAUUUUUAGUCCUGAGUAUAGGGCUGUUGCUUCCGUGUCUAUAGGCGACUGAGCAGCGAAUUUGGCACUAAAGCCAUAGACCCAAUUCCCAUGCUUAUCUCGAAUUAAUCCCCCAGCUCCGCCAACUUUGUUAUGAUAGUCAAAGGAGCCAUCAAUGUUGAGUUUCAUCCCUUGGUGUUUCCGAAGAAAAAUGCCUCCGGGGCAGAGUAAACAUUCAUUUCUGAACAAUAGACCCUCUUUCCAUACCAGUUGUGUGUUCUCAUCCAUUACAACUUCUUCCUAUAUAUUUUGUUUGUGCUGCUUGUUUUCCUCUAUUAGCUCCUAUAAAAAAUUCUCGUUUGAAUCAUUUCAAAAUGAGUUUCAAAGCUUCAAAAUCAAAUUAUGGGAGCAUGCUUAGCGUUGAGUUGAGAGGGUCGAGCCCAAGCUCAGCUCUAUCAAGUCGAGACUGAUGUGCAAUCAACUUUCCAGUUUUUGCCAAAGAAUUUGUGCUACUUCACAUGUCCCAAAUAGAUGUGUAGUAUCUUCUAUCUGCUGCUGCUCACACAGGACACAGUAAUUAGACUCUUUGCACAAGCCAAUCCUCUGUAAUCUCUCCUUGGUAUGCAUACCAAGUUUAAUCUUAUGCAAUUAUUUCCAGUACCGGCUGCUUUCCUGAGGUGGUGUAUAUGACCAAAACGAGCCAACCGCAAGCGAGCUUAAGCUUUGACCAAUCUUCGAUCGAGCUGAAUUGAGCCGAAUUAAAUACAUAUGAGUCAAGUCAAGCCCUGAGUUGGCUCAUCUCUAUGCCCCGCCUUAGUUGUGACUAGUAUUAUUUAAAUAAGAAAAUUAAAUAUUUUUUUUGUAAAUGUCAUUAUUCCAACCUCAAAAGCAAAA